CACCUGACUUGCCCUUGACUGCUUGAGGCCACUCCAGACACUGAGAGGCUGCAGCAUUGAGCGGAUGGCCACUCUGCAUGGUGGGAAUAGCUUAUUGCAUAUGCUGUGAAGAGUGAUGUCAUGUCUUGGUCCCAGGGAAUCAAUACUAUUGCCAGGAUGCCUGUGUGAUUAAGCAGACAGAGAACUUGAACAUAUAAUUUUCCUCUAUAGAAUGGAUCCCUAUAGUUGAAGGAACCCUUCCAGCACUGCAAAGGAGAGUGGGGCCUUUCCUUGAUGGUGUCUGAUUCUUCCCUCUCCAAUACUCAGGGAACAUGGGCAUUACUACCAAAGGCAAUUGUUACCCUUCACCAUGAGUCUCAUGUUUUCCCAAUGAGAUGGGACAAAUCAACUUGAAUUUGUCAGAAUGACUGGCAUCUCCUAACCUCAUGCUGUGGGAAUAUGGUUUAUCUUGAGUGCGCACCCACUAACCCGUACAUCAAAAUGUCAGAGGGCUUCCCAGUACAAGUUCAUGGCCAAAACGGGUAAAAUACCUUCAAUGGAGCAAUUCUUAGAGGCAAAUGAUGAUGAAUAGAGGAUUCUGUUACAGUUUUCUUGGCCUACCCCACUCUGUUUGCAUUCUAAGCCUCUACAACAGAAAGAAAAGUUGUGAAAAUUGCUUGAGAUACUGAGUCACGUGGUGAGAACAAGGGUGGUAAGACAUGACACCAGGGGGCUGGACAGAUGGCUUGGGGGAGGGAGGAGCACUUGUUAUGCAAGCAUGAGCAAUGGAGACAGGAGAAUCCUCCCAUGUUUUCUGAACAGCUAGCCUCAUCCACAGAGUAAAAAAAUCAACAAAGAGAAUUAAAAAUUUUGGAAGAUGAGCACCAAUACUCAAGAUUGGCCUCUGACUUCUACAUAUUUGCUGUGGCAUGUGUGGGCCUGUAUACACACACACACACACACACACACACACACACACACAUUAUCACCUGCAUACUAUAGAACAGUAUAUUUGGGACUUCUGUGCUGGGUAGUUUUAUGGCAACUUGACACAAGCUAGAGUCAUUUUGGAAAGGGGAACCCUCAAGUGAGACGUUGCCUUCACCGGACUAGCUUGUGAGCGACCCUGUGGGAGUAUUUUCUUGAUUGAUGAAUGAUGCAAAAAGGCCCAGCACACAGUGGGUGGAGCCACUUCUGGGCAGGUAGUCCUGAGCUGUGUAAGAAAUCAUGUUGAGCAAGCCUCAAGAAGAAACCUAGUAAACAGUAUUCCUGUGCGCCUCCUGUUUCAGUUCCUGCCCUGAGUUCUUGCUUUGGCUUCUCUCAGUGAUGGGCUUACAAGCUGUUAGGGGAACUAACCCUUCUGUCCCCAAGUUGCUUUUGGUCAUGGUGUUUCAUCAGAGCAAUAGAAACUAUAAGGAGGGCAGCCUCAUUCUAUGAGAAAAGGGAAGCCAUUACAAUGUAUACUUUUAGCAAGGAAGCGACACUCAUUCUGAGGAGCUGAUUGACAAAGAGUGAAUGAAGGAAUGAAGGUCAACUGGGUAGUCACAGGCUAUUGCAGUAGUCCAAAUGGGGAAAGGUAAAGUCUAGAACCUGGAUAUUACUCUUCUAUAAAUUCUAUCUGGGAGACUAGAGAAAGAAUGUUAUCUGUUAUGACAGAUGCAUAGAAGGAGGGGGAAUUCUGACAAGAUGCUGAGUGGCUUCUGGACAUGCUUAGUUUCUGGUGCUUGGAUGUUUUGAGAUGAGAUUUAAGAGAGGAGUCAAACCGGAAAAUGUAGCUCUGAUUUUCAACAUCACUCGAGCAAACACUAGACAUGGUCUUUUAAUGAAAAGCAUAGGAUAGCCAUUCAACAAUGGGUAGACUUACUUCUUGUGAACACUGGAGAUCAAGUUCUUCAGCACUUUGAUUGAACACUGAGCCUGGAGAGAGGGGCCAACAAGAAUUCCAAGCAAAGGAGGACUGGACGCAGGAGAGAUAUAAAGGGGGCCCAAAAGGAUGAUGAGCAAGAGAGGUAUCAAGAAGACAGCUAUUCAGGAGACCAAGAAGGGAACUCCUCUAACAGAUGAAGGAUGGAAAGGUCUAGAAAAGAUACACCCCACCACAAAAUGGAAGUGAACUGAGCCUAAUAAAGCUUCCAAAUUGACAUAAGUCAUAUAACUCUAUUGAAGUUCUUAAAUGGCUGAUGAGAAUAUGGGAUAUUAAGAAAAUAUUAGAAGGAGACAAUUAUUAAUUCCAGGAAAAACAUAAAGUUGUAAAGCCCAUCAGGAUAUGUAGUUAUAAUUUAUUCUAUCUCUCAGAUAUAAACAAUAUUUUGUUAGCACAAUAAAACUAGGUGUUACAUUAAACUGCAACAUCAGUCCAUCAAGAAUACAAGUGGGGAAAGGAGCAAUGUGUGUGUGAGUUGGGGGUGGGGGUAUAAGAGACCUGCAGACUGAGAAGAUGGCCCAACAAGUAAAAUAUUUAUCCUGACAGGAUGAAGACCUGAGUUCGAUCCCAGGAACCAACCCAACUUACAUUUUGUUUUCAAAAGAACUGGAGAGGUGUAUACAGGUUCAUCCUUGAAAUUCAAUGGUUGUACUUGCUGGUUUUGUGUGCCAACUUGACACAAGCUGGAGUUAUCAUAGAGAAAGGAGCCUCCCUUGAGGAAAUGCCUCCAUGAGAUCCAGCUGUAAGGCAUUUUCUCAAUUAGUGAUCAAGGGUGGGAGAGCCCAUUGUGGGUGGUGCCAUCCUUGGGCUGGUAGUCCUGGGUUCUAUAAGUAAGCAAGUAAGCAGGCCAGGGAAGCAAGCCAUUAAGUAACAUCCCUCCAUGGCCUCUGCGUCAGCUCCUGCUUCCUGACCUGCUUGAGUUCCAGUCCUGACUUCCUUGGUGAUGAACAGCAAUAUGGAAGUGUAAUCUGAAUAAACCCUUUCCUCCCCAGCUUGCUUCUAGGUCAUGAUGUUUGUGCAGGAAUAGAAACCCUGACUAAGAUUAAACCCUGACCUUCAUGAGCUUUAGACCAGUGAGAGACUAACACCUGUCUGCUAGCUUCCAAAUGUGUGUGCUCACAUAUGGAUGUGCAUUCACACAUAUGUAUGUACCUCUGUACACAGGAACAUACACAUACACCAAAAGUUAAAUCCUUAUCUGUCAGGGUGGCAGCAUACAAUUUCAAAAUUAGGUAUUUAAGAAAUUACUAUGUAAAUACAUGUGGUGGUUUGAGUAGUAAUUCCUGUCCCCCAAAAGGCUCAUAUAUUUGAAUGAUUAGUUACCAGGAAGUGGAACUGUUUAAAAGGAUUAGAAGGAUUAGGGGUGUGGCCUUGCUGGAGUAGGUAUAACCUUAAUGAAGGAAGAAGUAUUUCACUGGGGAUGGGAUCUGAAGUUUCAAAAGCCCAUGCCAGGUCCAAGCUCUCUCUUUCUCUUUGUCUGCCUGCAGAUUGGGAUGUAAGUAUUUCUCCAGCAUCAUGUACUGCUAUGCUCUCUGUCACAGUAACAAUGGACUAACCUCUGUAACUAUGGGCAAAAACCGUAGCUAAAUGUUUCUUUGUUCAUUGUGUCUCUUCACAGCAAUAUAAAAGUGUCUAAGAUAACAUAUUAUUAAGAAAACCACCAGAUAUAACAUUUGGAAGAACAUGAUUUCAGAGGGACUCAGAGGUUGGAAGGAAGGGAUUGGAACCUGGAAGAUUUCUUCAUAAACCUUCUAGUAUUCGACUUUUAUGUUCAUGAAAUUGCCAUGCACAAAUGUUGAUAAGAAUCAAAAUAAAGUUGCAAACAGAAGGAGCAAUGUUAGAGGAAGCUUGAGCCAGAUAAGAACUCAGCAUAAGGGGGCUGGAGAGAUGGCUCAGUGGUUAAGAGCACUGACUGCUCUUCCAGUGGUCCUGAGUUCAAUUCUCAGCAACUACUGGUGGCCCACAACCAUCUGUAAUGUGAUCUGAUGCCCUCUUCUGGUGUGUCUGAUGACAGCUACAGAGUACUUAUAUAAAAAUAAAUAAAUAAUAUUUAAGAAAGAACUCAGCAUAACAGGUUAAUAAUGAGAAAGUUCUGGAUGGUCAUAAGAAUGUGCAUAUGGAAUGCUGGCAACAGAAGCUAGACAGAAGAGUCGAGAGCUGGAGGCAUCUGCCUCCUUUUGAAAGGAUAGAUUCAAGUGUAGAUAAUCAAGCUAUUUAAUGCAACAAAGAAUGUUUCAUGACAUCUGCUUGGUUUCCUGUUGUCCUUUUUCUUCAGUUGGUCUAUGGAGAGGUCUUGGAAUGUCCGUGGAAGGCAGAGCCACUGAGCUAUGCCUACUAGAGAUGAGAGAUAAGCAACAAGUCUUCUCAUCUUCUGAAACAAGAGGAAGAUGGACUGACAGCAGAAGCAGUUCACAUAUAACAAGAAAUUCUAUACUUGCUAUUCUUUUAAAAUAUUUAUCAUUAAUAAAAAUUUUAGAUGUAUGCAUUUGUUUGGCAGGGGGUAUAUAUGAGUUCAGUUACCCUUGGAGGCCAGGAGAGGACAUCAGGUCCUAUGGAGCUGGAGGUAAAGGUGGUGUGAUGCGGGUGCUGGGAACUGAAGGCAGCUGCACAGCUGCAGCUAGCGAAGCCCCACGUGGUAACAAGGGAUUAUGAAACAAGUGAUGUGACCGACUCUCUCAUCUUACAGAAGCCUUGGUGCGUGCUGACUGGCAGCCUGUUUUCAGGUUCAGAGAGACACUGUGCCAGGGGAAAGAGACAGAGCAGGGCAGUCAACAUUCUCCUCAAGAGCAUGGGCGAACAAACUGUCCAAUUGGGAUCGGAAAAAUGGUUAGAAUAAUCAACUGAGAGAUAUUUAUUUAAAAGGAUGGGGCAUUUGAGAGCAUCCUCUUGAAGAGGGAGAGCAUUGCCAGACAUGGAAACAAGACUAUGGGAGUUUAGAGGGAGUAGAAGGGAAAUUAGAGAGGUCAAAGCAACAAAUUAAUGAACUUGGAGUAUUUUAAGACAUUUUUUUAUUCUAUUUUUCCCCUCUGAGACAAUCAAACUCCCACUGAUCCUUUGCUAUGCCAGAGUCCACCCCCUGUCUCAGUCCUGCCCCACUGCUGCCAGACUUCAGGCCGUGGUAGCGAGUCAGAUCAAUGCUAGUUUCAUACUAUACAUUCCGUGACCUGACAACCGAGGACUAGACAUGCAGGAGGACCCUCUCCACGGUCCACCACAUACUCUAUCUUCAAGCUUACUUCUCAGUGCCAUGACUAUGAUCAGAAUGGACGCAAGUGACUCAGCUCCCCACACUCUCCUUCAAGAGACCGGCCCUCUGGGAAUCCCGCCAGCAUGGAAUGGUAUCCAUUUGAAGACAAAUUAUAAAUUAAUAAUAAGUAAUGCUCCAGACUCUCCUGUCUGCCAAAAUACACCAUUCAUUGUGAAGUCCCUGAAAGGGCCCCAGUGAUGUAUAGCCAAGAAAGGCCAGCCCUCUGGGGCCUUUCCUCAUUUUAAACACAGACGGUGUGCCCUCACAGCAAGCGCUGCGGCCGUCUCCCCUGGCAGAACAACUGUUGUUCUUGGAAAGAGCACAGGCCAACACCUUCCAGCUGCAUUGCCACCUGCAAGCCUCUGCUUCUGCAGUCCCUGUUCACCAUCAGUGACCCACAGAGAGCAGACCUGUGCCCCAUAGUGAGAGCCCAAAGUGUAAGGAGCCCCGGUGGCUGGGCUGGGGGAGUGACUUUGUUGACAUGGCUUUUGCUAAAAUUCAGAAAAUCAUUGUGGGAAGAGGUGCGUGUGUGUGUGUGUGUGUGUGUGUGUGUGUGUGUGUUCCCUGUCGGUUGCCCUUUUCUUUAAAGGAAAAUAAAUCAAACCAAACAGCUUCAUCUUAUCAAACAAAUUCCUGGAGAACCCAUAUGAAACCAGUUUCUGUGGACAGUGUGAUUUGUGGCACUACCUAGUAAUCUGCAUUUCUCUACAUGGAAUCACCAGUGUUUUGAGCACUGUGAAUUCCUCACUGCCCACCCCAUACCCCCAGCCCUCUGGAAUGAUUGCUUCACAAACAAAUCUGAUUCCUCCAGGGAACGCAAACAGAAGUGGUUUGAUCUCUGCGGGGGUAGUGGGAAGUGUUGUUUUCUCUGUUCCGCCCAUUCAUUUAGACCUCUAGAGCUGACUUCAUUCAAAAUGCCACACCUCUGCCAGUGGUGUGGCAUUGAUCCAUGUGGGCAGUUCUGUGUCACUGGACAUUUAGGAACAAUACCCACCCCACCCCACCCCACCCCACCCCAACUUCCCCUUCUGUAUAUUGGAGUAGAAACAGCACAAUUGCAAGCUAGAAGCUUCUGUUCAUAUGGGGACACAAUCCCUAUUUGGGAUUGCAGGGACAAUCCUUGCAUGUGGGAAUGGAAAGCUUUUACUUACAAACACAUCCAUGAACAGGUGCUCCAGUGUCAUCUCGAAGUCAUCCAGUCUGGCAGCUAAUGUCAUGGUCAAUGUCCCAAUAGGACUCACGGAGCCCAAAUCUGCAAACCCUUCAGCUCACAGAACACCUUUGGUGUCAGGUCGGUAACUAGGCAAAGUCGCUACUAAUGCAAAGUGGAAAAUCUUAAAAUAAGACAGAGCAUUGCAGAACGGGCUGCCAGGGCUCCCGAGAAGAAAUUCUAACUUAAAAAACAAAAACAAAUCAAAACAACUCUAUUAAUGGUUCUAUGCUACUGGGCUGGGCAAGAAGGGCAGCAAGUGAAGAAGGUAGCUUCCUCUGCAGAACUGUACAAAGUAAGGUGCCCACAAAAUGCCAGGCACCUCAGCAGAGGCUUGCGGAGACAGCUGAAUGGAGCAGAAACGAGACUGGGGAAA